rnacentral:rRNA from 1 species
UAAUACCGGCGGCUCGAGUGGUGGCCACUUUUAUUGGGCUUAAAGCGUUCGUAGCUGGGUUGUUAAGUCUCUUGGGAAAUCUGACGGCUCAACCGUCAGGCGUCUAAGGGAUACUGGCAAUCUUGGAACCGGGAGAGGUGAGGGGUACUUCGGGGGUAGGAGUGAAAUCCUGUAAUCCUCGAGGGACCACCUGUGGCGAAGGCGCCUCACCAGAACGGCUUCGACAGUGAGGGACGAAAGCUGGGGGAGCAAACCGG